GCGGACGGAGUGUCAAGCCGCAGCACUGUCAAAUGGGCUUUUAUGACAUUUUCACAAAAAAAAAAAAAAUAAACGGAGGCUGUGUUCCUAAACGCCAACUUUCGUGGGAGCGCGGGCGAAGCUGUUUGGAAAUGGCAACUGUGCGAAGGGUGAUAACGACAAGCGGGUGUAAGCUUCGGUUGUAGAAAACUAGCAGCAGCUGACGGCCGUGAAUCAUGCCAACCAAUAUAGCAGCCGGAAAUUUGGAAGAGUACGGGAAAUACGAACACACGCUGGCAUAUGCUACGAAAAGCUUUGAAAGUGUCGAAAGUUGAGUAAUCAUGAAUGAGAGUGAGAGUACGCGCAGCAGUGGCCAUUGAGAGAUAAAAAUAUUUAUUCGCAUGUGCAAAAUUAUUUAGGAGCAAAUAGGUGUUGUUCUGUGUGCUUGAUAAAGCACGAAAUGCUGAAACAAACCAAAAGAAAACUAUAGAGAACGUAAGAGAAGGGCAGCCGCUGUGGGCAACAAAUGUCUGUACGUGUGUAAGAGAGCGACGCUGACGCAGUGCCUGUCAAAGGGCUGAGCUGUGCUCCAACCGAUCAGCUGAUGGCGGAAUGGGAGCAGCGUCGCAACAAACGAAAAUUUAUAUUACAAAAAAGCCAAAUAAAACAAAUGAGUUCGCCACCUUAAUUCAUGCAUAUAU